rnacentral:rRNA from 1 species
CCUACGGGUGGCUGCAGUGAGGAAUAUUGGUCAAUGGGCGCGAGCCUGAACCAGCCAAGUAGCGUGAAGGAUGACUGCCCUACGGGUUGUAAACUUCUUUUAUAAAGGAAUAAAGUGAGGCGCGUGUGCCUUUUUGUAUGUACUUUAUGAAUAAGGCUCGGCUAACUCCGUUCCAGCAGCCGCGGUAAUACGGAGGAUCCGAGCGUUAUCCGGAUUUAUUGGGUUGAAAGGGAGCGUAGAUGGGUUGUUAAGUCAGUUGUGAAAGGUUGCGGCUCAACCGUAAAAUUGCAAUUGAUACUGGAAGUCUUGAGUACAGUUGAGGUAGGCGGAAUUCGUGGUGUAGCGGUGAAAUGCUUAGAUAUCACGAAGAACUCCGAUUGCGAAGGCUGCUUACUAAACUGCCACUGACAUUGAGGCUCGAAAGUGUGGGUAUCAAACAGGAUUAGAUACCCGAGUAGUC